GUUGUGCAGGUCUGUGUUUCUGUAAGGUUUUAGGCUUUUUGGUGAAACUUUUUGUUGUCUUAUUUUUUUUAAAUAAAAUGUAGCCAUAGUAUAACUGUAAUUGCUGUUUUUUAUUACUUGACAUUAUUUAUUAUUUGGGGAUAAAUGUGAUGAUUGUUCGAUUCAAGGAACAAGUGCACGGGAAAGCACUGUCACUGUGGAACUUGAACUUGCACGACGUUCUGUCAACGGAGACGGUAAUAGUGGAUCAAGACUUGGGAGAGGUCAAGAGGUGGAGUCACAUAGUUGGCAGCGGCCUUGUCAGAUUCAGAGGUCAAGGGCUUGUCUGGAGACGGUACAUGCCCUAAGUGGAAGCGAUGACACUCUCUACCUGCAGGACCACCUGGACCAAAGUACCUCUUAGGUGGCUUGUGAUGAUGGUCGUUGCUCUACAGACCGUUAUGGGGGUG